CUACGGUCAUAUCACAUUGAAACACCGGUUCCUGUACGAUCCCCAAGGUUAAGCAACAUCGAGCCUGGUCAGUACCUAGUUGGGUAAUCACUCGGGAAUAUCAGGUGGUGUG